rnacentral:lncRNA from 1 species
CUGGGCUCUUUUCUCUCUCUGCACUCGGGAGGCGCCCAUGCACGGUCUGCAAAGGCACAGGAGGCCCUUGGGGUGCAGCUGAGGUAAGAACCAAUGUGCUUUGCAGGGCCCUGUCCCAGGCCUCUUGACAGCAGUGCCUGCUGGAGCCUUCUAGUCCCUCCAGCUGCAGGGCCAGGACACACAGUCAGCCCUUCUUAGAAGCAGAAAAGGCCUUUCCCGGAAUCCUGCUGAGGCGAGGAGUGUCAGGUUGUGUAGUGGGGGAGAGCUGGCCACCAGGCUCCACUUCUAUGUACCCUCUGCCUAGGAAGCCAGCCAGCUAUCUGCUGGAGACUUGCCUUCAUCACGACUUGUCACCUCCAGGAGAUGUUCCACUUUCCAAUCAGGUGAAAAAUGAACCUGAUUAAAAAUAGCAGACUGGCCUCUUCAGAGUCCCCUUGUAAAGUGAAACCCCUGGGUGCGCCUCCAAGUGGGAAAAGGGACAUGACUUUCCCCGGGUUCCAGGCUCCGAGGGCCAGUCGGCAGCUGCUCCUCUCCUUCCACCACCCUGCCCAGCCCAGAGCCCUCUCAGUCACGGCCACCAUGGUCAGGUCUUACUCUCUGGGCUCACCCUGUUGGCCAGGGGGCACCGUGACCACCCCUCCCCUCCCUUCCUUCCUCCUGCCUUUAAUGCUUAUGGACCUAGGCUUCUAGAGCUUUCUCAACACUGUGGACACAUUCCCAGUGGAAAGCAUGACAUUUUCCGUUUCAGAUUACGCACUCCACCAUGCCGCAGGAAGAGAGCGAGCAGGAAAACAAGGCCUGGGAGCCAGCCCCCCCUGCACCGCCCGCAGCUCAGCCCGGUUUAUCCUGGAGUCACCUCCCCAGCGGGCAGCGGCUGCCUCUCCCCCUCGCCGAAGGCCCAGAAGAGGUUAACCUCCUUUCUGCUCAUGUGGCACAUCUGGAUUGAGGCGUGCCUCUCCACUCUGUUGUGUUUUUUUUAAACUUUACUUUCCACUGCCAUGGCAACCACUGCAUGUUUGGCAAAGGGAAGGGGGGGGGGGCGAAAGCUCAGGGAGAAGAAAAGGAGCUCUCAGCGCGGGGCUGGCGGCCAUCCAGGGUAAUCAUGCCGCAGAGCUGAAAUGAGGCCUCUGGCGGGCAGCCAAGUGACAAAGAACAAAGCUGUCAGUUCCUAAUGUUGGCGGCAAAGCUUGUUUGGCACCCUUAUAUGGUUUCCCAGAACUCCCUGCCUUGGCCGCCGUCCAUUCCCUUCAGGGCAGCAAACGGGAUUAGCACAGCUCUGGGUUGUUUUUCUCCCCUCUGCUCCAACUGCUCCAGUGACAUCAUCCCUGCUGCAUUCAUGUGCCAGCAGGGUAGUUUUUCUCUGCUCCACCUCCCUCCCCCUGGCCCUCCCCCACCAACACUCACUUCCUGUGGCCGCCCCCUCGCCCCUCACUCUCUCCACGCAAUGUUUUAGGUCAUUCUUCUUGUCCAGCUUCUCUGUUAAAUUAAAAACACCCUGGUGCUUGUA